CAGGGGACCUUUGGGCCUUGCGCUAAUAGAUGAGCCUAAGUCGGAUUAGCUAGUUGGUAGGGUAAAGGCCUACCAAGGCGACGAUCCGUAGCUGGUCUGAGAGGACGACCAGCCACACUGGGACUGAGACACGGCCCAGACUCCUACGGGAGGCAGCAGUAGGGAAUCUUCCACAAUGGACGCAAGUCUGAUGGAGCAACGCCGCGUGAGUGAAGAAGGGUUUCGGCUCGUAAAACUCUGUUGUUAAAGAAGAACAAGUGUAAGAGUAACUGUUUACGCUUUGACGGUAUUUAACCAGAAAGCCACGGCUAACUACGUGCCAGCAGCCGCGGUAAUACGUAGGUGGCAAGCGUUAUCCGGAUUUAUUGGGCGUAAAGCGAGCGCAGGUGGUCUUUUAAGUCUGAUGUGAAAGCCCUCAGCUCAACUGAGGAAGUGCAUCGGAAACUAGGAGACUUGAGUACAGAAGAGGAUAGUGGAACUCCAUGUGUAGCGGUGAAAUGCGUAGAUAUAUGGAAGAACACCAGUGGCGAAGGCGGCUAUCUGGUCUGUUACUGACACUGAGGCUCGAAAGCAUGGGUAGCGAACAGGAUUAGAUACCCUGGUAGUCCAUGCCGUAAACGAUGAAUGCUAGGUGUUGGAGGGUUUCCGCCCUUCAGUGCCGCAGCUAACGCAUUAAGCAUUCCGCCUGGGGAGUACGACCGCAAGGUUGAAACUCAAAGGAAUUGACGGGGGCCCGCACAAGUGGUGGAGCAUGUGGUUUAAUUCGAUGCUACGCGAAGAACCUUACCAGGUCUUGACAUCUUCUGCCAACCUAAGAGAUUAGGCGUUCCCUUCGGGGACAGAAUGACAGGUGGUGCAUGGUUGUCGUCAGCUCGUGUCGUGAGAUGUUGGGUUAAGUCCCGCAACGAGCGCAACCCUUAUUAUUAGUUGCCAGCAUUUAGUUGGGCACUCUAGUGAGACUGCCGGUGAUAAACCGGAGGAAGGUGGGGACGACGUCAAAUCAUCAUGCCCCUUAUGACCUGGGCUACACACGUGCUACAAUGGACGGUACAACGAGUCGCGAAACCGCGAGGUCAAGCUAAUCUCUUAAAGCCGUUCUCAGUUCGGAUUGUAGGCUGCAACUCGCCUACAUGAAGUUGGAAUCACUAGUAAUCGUGGAUCAGCAUGCCACGGUGAAUACGUUCCCGGGCCUUGUACACACCGCCCGUCACACCAUGAGAGUUUGUAACACCCAAAGACGAUGGAG
rnacentral:rRNA from 1 species